rnacentral:rRNA from 1 species
AUUGAACGCUGGCGGCAUGCCUUACACAUGCAAGUCGAACGGCAGCGGACCUUCGGGUGCCGGCGAGUGGCGAACGGGUGAGUAAUGCAUCGGAACGUACCUUUCAGUGGGGGAUAACGUAGCGAAAGUUACGCUAAUACCGCAUAUUCUGUGAGCAGGAAAGCAGGGGAUCGCAAGACCUUGCGCUGAUUGAGCGGCCGAUGUCAGAUUAGCUAGUUGGUGAGGUAAAGGCUCACCAAGGCGACGAUCUGUAGCGGGUCUGAGAGGAUGAUCCGCCACACUGGGACUGAGACACGGCCCAGACUCCUACGGGAGGCAGCAGUGGGGAAUUUUGGACAAUGGGGGCAACCCUGAUCCAGCCAUGCCGCGUGAGUGAAGAAGGCCUUCGGGUUGUAAAGCUCUUUCGGCCGGGAAGAAAUCGCACAGGCUAAUACCUUGUGUGGAUGACGGUACCGGAAUAAGAAGCACCGGCUAACUACGUGCCAGCCGCCGCCGUAA